rnacentral:rRNA from 1 species
GCGUCCCUCCGCGCCGACUCAGACGUACCUACCGGGACGGGCGACGCGAGUGGGGAAUUUUGCGCAAUGGGGAAACCCUGACGCAGCAACGCCGCGUGGAGGAUGAAAUCCCUUGGGAUGUAAACUCCUUUCGACGGGGACGAUGAUGACGGUACCCGUAGAAGAAGCCCCGGCUAACUUCGUGCCAGCAGCCGCGGUAAUAC